rnacentral:rRNA from 1 species
ACUUAAAUUGAAGAGUUUGAUCAUGGCUCAGAUUGAACGCUGGCGGCAGGCCUAACACAUGCAAGUCGAGCGGUAGCACAGAGAGCUUGCUCUCGGGUGACGAGCGGCGGACGGGUGAGUAAUGUCUGGGAAACUGCCUGAUGGAGGGGGAUAACUACUGGAAACGGUAGCUAAUACCGCAUAAUGUCGCAAGACCAAAGUGGGGGACCUUCGGGCCUCAUGCCAUCAGAUGUGCCCAGAUGGGAUUAGCUUGUAGGUGGGGUAACGGCUCACCUAGGCGACGAUCCCUAGCUGGUCUGAGAGGAUGACCAGCCACACUGGAACUGAGACACGGUCCAGACUCCUACGGGAGGCAGCAGUGGGGAAUAUUGCACAAUGGGCGCAAGCCUGAUGCAGCCAUGCCGCGUGUGUGAAGAAGGCCUUCGGGUUGUAAAGCACUUUCAGCGGGGAGGAAGGCGGUGAGGUUAAUAACCUCAUCGAUUGACGUUACCCGCAGAAGAAGCACCGGCUAACUCCGUGCCAGCAGCCGCGGUAAUACGGAGGGUGCAAGCGUUAAUCGGAAUUACUGGGCGUAAAGCGCACGCAGGCGGUCUGUCAAGUCGGAUGUGAAAUCCCCGGGCUCAACCUGGGAACU